rnacentral:rRNA from 1 species
CCUACGGGAGGCAGCAGUGGGGGAUAUUGCACAAUGGGGGGAACCCUGAUGCAGCGACGCCGCGUGGGUGAAGAAGCGCCUCGGCGCGUAAAGCCCUGUCAGCAGGGAAGAAAAUGACGGUACCUGAAGAAGAAGACCCGGCUAACUACGUGCCAGCAGCCGCGGGAAUACGUAGGGGGCAAGCGUUAUCCGGAUUUACUGGGUGGAAAGGGGGCGCAGACGGCGAUGCAAGCCAGGAGUGAAAGCCCGGGGCCCAACCCCGGGACUGCUCUUGGAACUGCGUGGCUGGAGUGCAGGAGGGGCAGGCGGAAUUCCUGGUGUAGCGGUGAAAUGCGUAGAUAUUAGGAGGAACACCAGUUGCGAAGGCGGCUCUCUGGACUGUAACUGACACUGAGGCACGAAAGCGUGGGGAGCAAACAGGAUUAGAUACCCUUGUAGUC